CCUACGGGGGGCAGCAGUGAGGAAUAUUGGUCAAUGGACGAGAGUCUGAACCAGCCAAGUAGCGUGAAGGAUGACUGCCCUAUGGGUUGUAAACUUCUUUUAUAUGGGAAUAAAACGUUCCACGUGUGGGAUUUUGUAUGUACCAUAUGAAUAAGGAUCGGCUAACUCCGUGCCAGCAGCCGCGGUAAUACGGAGGAUCCGAGCGUUAUCCGGAUUUAUUGGGUUUAAAGGGAGCGUAGGUGCAUUUUUAAGUCAGUUGUGAAAGUUUGCGGCUCAACCGUAAAAUUGCAGUUGAAACUGGCAGUCUUGAGUACAGUAGAGGUGGGCGGAAUUCGUGGUGUAGCGGUGAAAUGCUUAGAUAUCACGAAGAACUCCGAUUGCGAAGGCAGUUCACUGGACUGCAACUGACACUGAGGCUCGAAAGUGUGGGUAUCAAACAGGAUUAGAUACCCCAGUAGUC
rnacentral:rRNA from 1 species